UGGCGGACGGGUGAGUAAUGUCUGGGAAACUGCCUGAUGGAGGGGGAUAACUACUGGAAACGGUAGCUAAUACCGCAUAACGUCGCAAGACCAAAGAGGGGGACCUUCGGGCCUCUUGCCAUCGGAUGUGCCCAGAUGGGAUUAGCUAGUAGGUGGGGUAACGGCUCACCUAGGCGACGAUCCCUAGCUGGUCUGAGAGGAUGACCAGCCACACUGGAACUGAGACACGGUCCAAACUCCUACGGGAGGCAGCAUG
rnacentral:rRNA from 1 species